CAGCAGCCGCGGGAAUACGUAGGGUGCGAGCGUUAAUCGGAAUUACUGGGCGUAAAGCGUGCGCAGGCGGUUCGUUAAGACAGAUGUGAAAUCCCCGGGCUUAACCUGGGAACUGCAUUUGUGACUGGCAAGCUAGAGUAUAGCAGAGGGGGGUGGAAUUCCGCGUGUAGCGGUGAAAUGCGUAGAUAUGCGGAGGAACACCGAUGGCGAAGGCAGCCCCCUGGGCCAAUACUGACGCUCAUGCACGAAAGCGUGGGGAGCAAACAGGAUUAGAUACCCCAGUAGUCCCUGUCUCUUAUAC
rnacentral:rRNA from 1 species